AGAAUGAAUUCCCACUUUUGCAUCAACAUGGAUGGAACUGGAGGGGAUUAUGCUAAGUGAAAGAAGUCAAGCAGAGAAAAGAUAAUUAUCAUAUGGUUUCACUUAUUUGUUGAACAUAAGGAAUAGAUAGCAGGGAGGACAUUAUGAGAAGGAAAGGAAAAAUGAAGGGGGGAAAACCAAAGGCGGAGACUAUGGACUCUGGGAAACAAACUGAGGGCUUCAGAGGGGAGGGGGCUGGGGGGAUGGGCCAGCCCAGUGAUAGGUAGUAAGGAGGGUACGUACUGCAUGGAGCACUGGGUGUUAUACGCAAACAAUGGAUCAUGGAACACUACAUCAAAAACUAAUGAUGUGCUGUAUGGUGACUAACAUAACAUAAUAAAUAAAUAAAAAUAAAUAAAGAAAGAAGUUAUGUGCUAAAACUUGUAUAUGCCAGUCACUAUCUAGACAGAAGAGUUCUUGAGAAGAGGUAGCUGGUGAAAGAAAUAUAUUUUAGUUUAUUUAGUAGACAAAUACCUGAGCAUCUAGUAUGUUGCAUAUUCCAAAAUGGUUAAAAAAAAAAAAAUCUUUCAAAGGGCUUGCCCCCAGCCAGCUGCCACACACACAUUCUCUAACCAUUCUCCCAGAUGCUUCUCAAGUUCCUUCCCCAAACAAAAAGCAGAGAUCACGUUUGAAGGAUUCUCUCCUGAUAAACAGGGACUGUACAAGAAAACCAAUGGAGAAGAAAGAGAAAGAAAACGGAGAAGAAAAAGAAAAACCACACUGGUUAUUUCAAUACUAAAUUGAUUGACUAACACCAUUAAAUUUAUAAUGGAAAUUUUCAUGCUAAUAAUGUGAAUGUUAUUGAGUUCCUCUGGAAUGGAGUUAAUUCCUGAGGAAUUAACAUUUCCUCAGAAGUAAAUACAGAGGAGCACCUUAAGUCUUCCUUCUUUCAUUUGCCCAUUCAACAGAUUUUAUUGAGUACCUGGUAUGUCGAGAACCAAGUAAGAAGACAGAAUAAGCCGGCAGCCAAAAACAAGACAGAAAUCAGAAAUCAAAUCUGAUGAAAGAAAAGGAAAACUGGGGCGCCUGGGUGGCUUAUUCAGUUAAGCCUCUACCUUCAGCUCAGUCAUGAUCCCAGGACCCUGGGAUCCAGCCUCACGUGGGGAAGCCUGCUUCCUCCUCUCCCUCUGUCGCUCCCCCUGCUUGUGUAUUCUCUCUCUCUCUCUCUCUCAAAUAAGUAAAUAAAAUCUUUUUUUAAAAAGGAAAAAUAAAAACA
rnacentral:lncRNA from 1 species